rnacentral:rRNA from 1 species
GGUGCUAAUACCGUAUAACACUAUUUUCCGCAUGGAAGAAAGUUGAAAGGCGCUUUUGCGUCACUGAUGGAUGGACCCGCGGUGCAUUAGCUAGUUGGUGAGGUAACGGCUCACCAAGGCCACGAUGCAUAGCCGACCUGAGAGGGUGAUCGGCCACACUGGGACUGAGACACGGCCCAGACUCCUACGGGAGGCAGCAAUAGGGAAUCUUCGGCAAUGGACGAAAGUCUGACCGAGCAACGCCGCGUGAGUGAAGAAGGUUUUCGGAUCGUAAAACUCUGUUGUUAGAGAAGAACAAGGAUGAGAGUAGAACGUUCAUCCCUUGACGGUAUCUAACCAGAAAGCCACGGCUAACUACGUGCCAGCAGCCGCGGUAAUACGUAGGUGGCAAGCGUUGUCCGGGUUUAUUGGGCGUAAAGCGAGCGCAGGCGGUUUCUUAAGUCUGAUGUGAAAGCCCCCGGCUCAACCGGGGAGGGUCAUUGGAAACUGGGAGACUUGAGUGCAGAAGAGGAGGGUGGAAUUCCAUGUGUAGCGGUGAAAUGCGUAGAUAUAUGGAGGAACACCAGUGGCGAAGGCGGCUCUCUGGUCUGUAACUGACGCUGAGGCUCGAAAGCGUGGGGAGCGAACAGGAUUAGAUACCCUGGUAGUCCACGCCGUAAACGA